rnacentral:lncRNA from 1 species
AAGAGGAGGGCAGAUUUGUCAACCAGAGCCCCUGAAAUAAAUCACAUCUUCUACUACUUGACAGCCAGUCUUCAGGGAAGAAGCUUUCAGGGAUUCUCUAAGGCCCUACUGUCCUAGAACUCUGCAGAUGAGGCUGACCUGGAACUCAAAGAUCCACCUGCUUCUGACUCCCAAGUACUGAGAUCAAAGGUGUGAACUACUAUAAUCCCACCAAAUCAAUUCCUAAAAAUGAAGAAGUUACAAUGAAGACAUUAUAAUGGAAGAAGAACAGGAAGGCAGCUGACUCACAUGACUACAUCCAAAGAGGGGAUAUAAAAAUCUAUUGGACUUUGGCAGUCUCCUUAGCAUAAAAGAUGGCUAACCAGAAUGUGUUGUUGAAGGAUGUCUUUUGAGAUCUAAAUAUUAUAAUGACUGUAAAGUGGAAAUUAAGCAAAUCUACUUCGAAUCCCACCUUGUGUAUGUGUUGCUUCUUAACCUUAACUUUUUGUUCUGAAUUAAUGUCUGUCACCUAGUUUGAUUCCUAUUGCUGUGAUAAAAUGCCAUGAUCAAAAACAACUUGGGAAAGAAAGAAUUUAUUUGACUUACACUUCUUGGGUCACAGUACAUUG